rnacentral:RNase_P_RNA from 1 species
GAAAGCAGGCGAGGUGAUCGCGAUCGGAGCGGCGGCGGUCUUCGGGCCGUCCGCCGGGUCCGGUUGAGGAAAGUCCGGGCUCCCCAAUGGCCAGGCCUGCCGGGUAACGCCCGGUGCGGGCGACCGUGAGGACAGUGCCACAGAAACACACCGCCGAUGGCCCCGUGGGAGGUUCGCCUCGCCCGGUGCACAGGCAAGGGUGCAAGGGUGCGGUAAGAGCGCACCAGCGGCAUCGAGAGGUGCCGGCUCGGUAAACCCCGGCCGGGAGCAAGGCCCAGGGACAACGGUUGGCCAUCUUCCCCGUCCCGUUUCAAGCGAGCCGCUCGAGGCCGCCGGUAACGGCGGUCCCAGACAGAUGAUCACCCCCCGCUUCCGCCCCGCGCCCAACGGCCCGGCCGGCGGCAGCGGGGAACAGAACCCGGCUUACGUCCUGCUUUCCCCC